rnacentral:rRNA from 1 species
UAUCAAUAAGCGGAGGAAAAGAAACCAACAGGGAUUGCCCCAGUAACGGCGAGUGAAGCGGCAACAGCUCAAAUUUGAAAUCUGGCCCCCCGCCCGCGGGGGCCCGAGUUGUAAUUUGCAGAGGAUGCUUCCGGCGCAGCGCCUUCCGAGUUCCCUGGAACGGGACGCCGCAGAGGGUGAGAGCCCCGUACGGUCGGACGCCUAGCCACUGUGAAGCUCCCUCGACGAGUCGAGUAGUUUGGGAAUGCUGCUCUAAACGGGAGGUAUAUGUCUUCUAAAGCUAAAUACUGGCCAGAGACCGAUAGCGCACAAGUAGAGUGAUCGAAAGAUGAAAAGCACUUUGAAAAGAGAGUUAAAGAGCACGUGAAAUUGUUGAAAGGGAAGCGCUCGCGACCAGACUUGGGCCCCGGGGGAUCAUCCGGCGUUCUCGCCGGUGCACUCCGCCGGGCCCAGGCCAGCAUCAGUUCGCCGCGGGGGACAAAGGCGCCGGGAACGUGGCUCCCCUACGGGGGAGUGUUAUAGCCCGGCGCGCAAUGCCCCGCGCGCGGACUGAGGCACGCGCUCCGCAAGGAUGCUGGCGUAAUGGUCCCCAGCGACCCGUCUUGAAACACGGACCAAGGAGUCGUCCUCGUAUGCGAGUGUUCGGGCGUCAAACCCCUACGCGUAAUGAAAGUGAGCGGCAGGUGAGAGCUUCGGCGCAUCAUCGACCGAUCCUGAUGGUUCUCCCGGACGGAUUUGAGUAAGAGCAUACGGGGCCGGACCCGAAAGAAGGUGAACUAUGCCUGUAUAGGGUGAAGCCAGAGGAAACUCUGGUGGAGGCUCGCAGCGGUUCUGACGUGCAAAUCGAUCGUCAAAUAUGGGCAUGGGGGCGAAAGACUAAUCGAACCUUCUAGUAGCUGGUUUC